CUCGUGCUCCUUUUCUUUCUUCUCUUCUAUGUAUCUUUUCUUCUUCAGUCGAGUGAGAAUUUGAGAAAUCAAAUUAGUGAUUGAGAGAUCGAGUAUAGAGGGGGAAGGAUUGUGUAGUAACUGUUGUUUAUGGCGUUGAUGUUCAUCGAGCUCGGGAAAGAAGAAGCUGAUGCUGUUAAUCAGAAAUUAGGGUUUACAAGAAACUCAUAUGAAGAUUAGAAGAUGUGAAAUUGAUAAUUUAGAAGACUGAUUGGAGAUGGGUUUUACCUGAAUUAGAGUUUGAGUUUAAUGAAUUGAUUGGAAUCGGUAGUUAGGGUUUGUUUAUUUUUUUAAUGGAGGUCUAAGAAUUGAAUUAGAGUUCGAAUGAGGACUGUUAGUGAUGAUGGGAGUGUUCCGGUGUUGGAAGAACUGAAUCAGUGAGUCGUUGUAAUCUUAAGAAGAAUUCCAGUUAAGAAAGAAGAGGAAAUUUAAUUCUAAUUGCUGGAAACAGAACUUACUUGAGGUAAUUGUUUUCUCCGUAACUUAGUAAAGAUGUGAAUUUCAGUUAAUGGUUUUAUAGAUUAUGGAUAUUGUUAAGAUUGAAUUGAAGCUAAAGUUUAUAUCUUAAGUAUUUUGAGGAUUGAUACUGUGUUUAGUCUCAAUUGAAAUUGCAGAGAAGAUAUGAAUAUAAAUGUUGCAGAUUAUAGUGAUGAUUGUGUUAAAUUGCAACUGAAGAUUUGUAUGUCUAAGAUACCACAAUUAAGAAACUGGAUUUGGAGGUGUAAAUGUGCAGGUGAUAAGGUUGGUGUUGGAAUUGAUUUGGUUGAUUUGUUAUAAGGGGUGUAUUGGUUGUAGAACUGAAGUUGUAGUUACUCUGUAUUUGAGAUGAUAUGAGUAAUUCUUGUGAAGAUGUACCUGGUGGUGGUGUGCCGAGUUAAGCUAAAUAAGAUGAAGUGUUCUAAUAGAUGAAUUGAGAAUUUAUUUCAUGUGGCGGUUCAUGUGUGACAGGGAUUUAUGAAUGGAGCUGUUGUUGAUAUGAGUUGCAGAUGUGUUAAUUGAGCUUUGCUCAGUUGGUAAUGGUUGUGAGUUUUAGGUUGGUUGUUGGGUAUGUGAUAGAGAUAUGAUUCUGGUAUUGAGUUGUGUUUGAGUAGUGUUGAUGGUUGGAGAUGUUGCUGGUGCAAAGAAUGGUGUAUUCACAGUUGUAGAUUGAAUUUACUGUGAAAGAUUGCUGCUACUGCAAUUGCAGUUAGUCUAUAUUAACAACGAUCGAUUCAAAGGACGAACCAGUGGAUCGUGGAUCUCGAGGUAGGCGUGGCUUGUCAUCAAAACAGAGCUCUGGCGACUUGCGAUGAAGAUUCUUACGAGGUCUUUGAUCGAUUAAUCAGUUUCUCCGCGCAAGAUUUUGUUCCCUAGAUUUAUUCCUCUGUAUCUCCUUCGAUUGAUCAUUUCUAACACCCUAAAAAAUGGCAUGGAGAGAUAGUCUUUGUAGCUCCUGCAGAAAUGCCUUCUACAUGGAUAUGAAAGUGCAGCAGCAGCAGCUCAAUGCUUACUAAACUUGUAUAGGACAAGCUUUCAUACACAGGUGGUGGUGCUACUAGACUUUACAAGCAUUUGAUGAACAAGCAAGAGAUCUAAAGAAAACAUCUACAAGAUAUGUACAGUACCGUGGUUAGCCGAGAUAGUACUGGUAGUGUACAGUUUUGGGACGGUGAACAAAAAAUUCCUUUCCAGACACAUUCUUUGCCACAAGGAUUCUUUACAUUGCGAAUACACUACUCGUGAAGCCUAUGAAGCCACUAGCACUACAGUGGAAUCUCUCAAGCUACUUUGCAGAGUAGUCAUUAAACAGUACAUAUAUGUUGUACCAACAAUUGUGCCUCGUUCAAUUCCCUGGAUUUUGAGUGGUGCCUCAUAAUGAUGAGGUCGCUGCUGACAGUGUUGGUGUAGACUCGAAGAGGACAGGUUGAAUUGGAUCUGACAUUUUCGACAUUUCUUAUGAUGAGGCUGUUGGUGCUUUGGGAGAAUAAGGUUCAACGGAAGUGGAGCAGUAGGGAGUGUUUCGACUAGUGGUGUCUCGUUGGGUGGUAGUGAAAGCUGGAAGGGUGGUAGGGAAAGCUGGAAACUCGUGGCACUAAGCAUAUUCCACUAAGGUUUGUUUUAUGUUAUGGGAGGCAUGUCCAGAUUUACUGCCUACUGUGAGGAUUCUUGAAAAAAGAGGAUUCCAGUAACUAAUGUCAAUGGUAAAUUUUGUAACUUGGAGGAGGAAAGUGCGAAUCUAGUUGUCCAAAAGUUUAUGUUAUUUCUUUCUUUUUUAUGUUUUUGUUUUACGUCUUGGUCUUGUUGAAUGAUCAUUUUCUUAUUUAUUUGACACGCUCGACGCCAGGGGCUAAAUAUGUUUUUUCCAUAUUUUAAA